rnacentral:rRNA from 1 species
ACGGAAGGCAGCAGCUAAGAAUAUUCCGCAAUGGACGAAAGUCUGACGGAGCGACGCCGCGUGGAUGAUGAAGGCCGGAAGGUUGUAAAGUCCUUUUAUGACUGAGGAAUAAGCAGGGUGAGAGAAACGCCCUGUGGUGACUGUAGGUCAUGAAUAAGCAACGGCUAAUUACGUGCCAGCAGCCGCGGUAACACGUAAGUUGCGAGCGUUGUUCGGAAUUAUUGGGCGUAAAGGGCAUGUAGGCGGUUUUGCAAGCUUGGUGUGAAAUCCCGGAGCUUAACUCCGGAAUUGCGUUGAGAACUGCAUAACUAGAGUCACUGAGGGGCAAUCAGAAUUCCUGGUGUAGGGGUGAAAUCUGUAGAUAUCAGGAAGAAUACCAAUGGCGAAGGCAGGUUACCAGCAGAUGACUGACGCUGAGGUGCGAAGGUGCGGGGAGCAAACAGGAUUAGAUACCCUGGUA